UACGAAGGGGGCUAGCGUUGUUCGGAUUUACUGGGCGUAAAGCGCACGUAGGCGGAUUGUUAAGUCAGGGGUGAAAUCCUGGAGCUCAACUCCAGAACUGCCUUUGAUACUGGCAAUCUUGAGUCCGGAAGAGGUGAGUGGAACUCCUAGUGUAGAGGUGGAAUUCGUAGAUAUUAGGAAGAAUACCAGUGGCGAAGGCGGCUCACUGGUCCGGUACUGACGCUGAGGUGCGAAAGCGUGGGGAGCAAACAGG
rnacentral:rRNA from 1 species